GACGAACGCUGGCGGCGUGCCUAAUACAUGCAAGUUGAGCGAUGAAGAUUGGUGCUUGCACCAAUUUGAAGAGCAGCGAACGGGUGAGUAACGCGUGGGGAAUCUGCCUUUGAGCGGGGGACAACAUUUGGAAACGAAUGCUAAUACCGCAUAACAACUUUAAACAUAAGUUUUAAGUUUGAAAGAUGCAAUUGCAUCACUCAAAGAUGAUCCCGCGUUGUAUUAGCUAGUUGGUGAGGUAAAGGCUCACCAAGGCGAUGAUACAUAGCCGACCUGAGAGGGGGAUCGGCCACAUUGGGACGGAGACAAGGCCCAAACUCCUAAGGGAGGCAGCAGUAGGGAAUCUUCGGGAAUGGGAGAAAGGCUGACCGGGCAACGCCGCGUGGGUGAAGAAGGUUUUCGGAUCGUAAAACUCUGUUGGUAGAGAAGAACGUUGGUGAGAGUGGAAAGCUCAUCAAGUGACGGUAACUACCCAGAAAGGGACGGCUAACUACGUG
rnacentral:rRNA from 1 species